AAGGUCUUAUCUUAAUUAAAGUACUUGAGUUGCAUUCAGGUGAUAUGGGUUAAAAUUCCAUAGAUCUUA
rnacentral:tRNA from 1 species